UACGUAGGGGGCAAGCGUUGUCCGGAUUUAUUGGGCGUAAAGAGCGUGUAGGCGGCUUGGUAGGUCUCGCGUCAAAACCUGAGGCUCAACCUCAGUUCGCGUGGGAAACCACCUAGCUAGAGUCCGGAAGAGGAGAACGGAAUUCCCAGUGUAGCGGUGAAAUGCGCAGAUAUCGUAAGGAAGACCAGUGGCGAAGGCGGGUCUCUGGACAGUUCCUGACGCUGAGGCACGAAGGUCAGGGGAGCAAACGGG
rnacentral:rRNA from 1 species